UCUUAUGUACAUGCCUACAAUGUUAAUACUCUGGAUUCCAUAAAAAAUUCAUAGUUAGGAGCACUUGGGCUAGAUUAGUACUGGGAUGGGUGACCUCCUUGGAUGUCCUACUAUUUUACAUGCC
rfam:Picea glauca, whole genome shotgun sequence.